rnacentral:piRNA from 1 species
UGGGUUUCUUUUAAUGGUGUAUUGGCCA